GAUGAACGCUGGCGGCGUGCCUAACACAUGCAAGUCGAACGGAGUUAUUAUUAUGAGGUUUUCGGAUGGAUUAAUAAUAACUUAGUGGCGGACGGGUGAGUAACGCGUGGGUAACCUGCCUCAUACAGGGGGAUAACAGUUGGAAACGGCUGCUAAAACCGCAUAACAUUGCGAUGUCGCAUGACAAUGCAAUUAAAUAUUUAUAGGUAUGAGAUGGGCCCGCGUCUGAUUAGCUAGUUGGUGGGGUAAUGGCCUACCAAGGCGACGAUCAGUAGCCGGUUUGAGAGAGUGACCGGCCACAUUGGGACUGAGACACGGCCCAAACUCCUACGGGAGGCAGCAGUGGGGAAUAUUGCACAAUGGGGGAAACCCUGAUGCAGCGACGCCGCGUGAGUGAAGAAGUAUUUCGGUAUGUAAAGCUCUAUCAGCAGGGAAGAAAAUGACGGUACCUGACUAAGAAGCCCCGGCUAACUACGUGCCAGCCGCCGCGGUAA
rnacentral:rRNA from 1 species